UGGGGAAUAUUGCACAAUGGGGGAAACCCUGAUGCAGCGACGCCGCGUGGAGGAAGAAGGUCUUCGGAUUGUAAACUCCUGUCCCAGGGGACGAUAAUGACGGUACCCUGGGAGGAAGCACCGGCUAACUACGUGCCAGCAGCCGCGGUAAAACGUAGGGUGCAAGCGUUGUCCGGAAUUACUGGGUGUAAAGGGUUCGCAGGCGGAAAUGCAAGUCAAGUGUAAAAGGCAGUAGCUUAACUACUGUAAGCAUUUGAAACUGCAUAUCUUGAGAAGAGUAGAGGUAAGUGGAAUUUUUAGUGUAGCGGUGAAAUGCGUAGAUAUUAAAAAGAAUACGGGUGGCGAAGGCGACUUACUGAGCUCAUUCUGACGCUGAGGAACGAAAGCGUGGGUAGCAAACAGG
rnacentral:rRNA from 1 species